UACAGAGGGUGCGAGCGUUGUCCGGAAUCACUGGGCGUAAAGGGCGCGUAGGUGGCGCCGCAAGUCCAUGGUGAAAGCUCGAUGCUCAACAUCGAGUCGGCCACGGAGACUGCGGGGCUCGAGCACUGUAGGGGCAGAUGGAAUUCCUGGUGUAGCGGUGGAAUGCGCAGAUAUCAGGAGGAACACCGGUGGCGAAGGCGGGUCUCUGGGCAGUAACUGACGCUGAGGAGCGAAAGCGUGGGGAGCGAACAGG
rnacentral:rRNA from 1 species